UCUCCGUUGGUGAACCAGCGGAGGGAUCAUUACAGGACGUCACACUCCCGUAAUACCACUGUGAAUCUUACCUAUGUACGUCGUUGCCUCGGCGCGGCGCGGCCCCGGUCACACGGGGCGGCCCGCCGGCGGCCAACCAAACUCUUGUUUCUACAGUGAAUCUCUGAGUAAAAAACAUAAAUGAAUCAAAACUUUCAACAACGGAUCUCUUGGUUCUGGCAUCGAUGAAGAACGCAGC
rnacentral:misc_RNA from 1 species